AGAGUUUGAUCCUGGCUCAGGACGAACGCUGGCGGCGUGCUUAACACAUGCAAGUCGAACGGAAAGGCCUUGCUUGCAAGGUACUCGAGUGGCGAACGGGUGAGUAACACGUGGGUGACCUGCCCUGCACUUUGGGAUAAGCCUGGGAAACUGGGUCUAAUACCAGAUAGGACCAUGAUGUAGUGAUUGUGGUGGAAAGUUUUUUCGGUGUGGGAUGGGCCCGCGGCCUAUCAGCUUGUUGGUGGGGUAAUGGCCUACCAAGGCGGCGACGGGUAGCCUGAGAGGGUGGACGGCCACAUUGGGACUGAGAUACGGCCCAGACUCCUACGGGAGGCAGCAGUGGGAAUAUUGCACAAUGGGCGCAAGCCUGAUGCAGCGACGCCGCGUGGGGAUGACGGCCUUCGGGUUGUAAACCUCUUUCGCAAGGGACGAAGCGUUUUGUGACGGUACCUUGAGAAGAAGCACCGGCUAACUACGUGCCAGCAGCCGCGGUAAUACGUAGGCGCGAGCGUUGUCCGGAAUUACUGGGCGUAAAGAGCUCGUAGGUGGUUUGUCGCGUCGUCUGUGAAAUUCCGGGGCUUAACUCCGGGCGUGCAGGCGAUACGGGCAUAACUUGAGUGCUGUAGGGGAGACUGGAAUUCCUGGUGUAGCGGUGGAAUGCGCAGAUAUCAGGAGGAACACCGAUGGCGAAGGCAGGUCUCUGGGCAGUAACUGACGCUGAGGAGCGAAAGCAUGGGGAGCGAACAGGAUUAGAUACCCUGGUAGUCCAUGCCGUAAACGGUGGGCGCUAGGUGUAGGGGUCUUCCACGACUUCUGUGCCGUAGCUAACGCAUUAAGCGCCCCGCCUGGGGAGUACGGCCGCAAGGCUAAAACUCAAAGGAAUUGACGGGGCCCGCACAAGCGGCGGAGCAUGUGGAUUAAUUCGAUGCAACGCGAAGAACCUUACCUGGGCUUGACAUACACCAGAUCGCUGCAGAGAUGUAGUUUCCCUUGUGGUUGGUGUACAGGUGGUGCAUGGUUGUCGUCAGCUCGUGUCGUGAGAUGUUGGGUUAAGUCCCGCAACGAGCGCAACCCUUGUCUUAUGUUGCCAGCACGUGAUGGUGGGGACUCAUGAGAGACUGCCGGGGUGAACUCGGAGGAAGGUGGGGAUGACGUCAAAUCAUCAUGCCCCUUAUGUCCAGGGCUUCACACAUGCUACAAUGGUCGGUACAACGCGCAGCGAACCUGUGAGGGUGAGCGAAUCGCUGAAAGCCGGCCUCAGUUCGGAUUGGGGUCUGCAACUCGACCCCAUGAAGUCGGAGUCGCUAGUAAUCGCAGAUCAGCAACGCUGCGGUGAAUACGUUCCCGGGCCUUGUACACACCGCCCGUCACGUCAUGAAAGUUGGUAACACCCGAAGCCCAUGGCCCAACCACCGUGUGUGGGGGGAGUGGUCGAAGGUGGGAUCGGCGAUUGGGACGAAGUCGUAACAAGGUAGCCGUACCGGAAGGUGCGGCUGGAUCACCU
rnacentral:rRNA from 1 species